AGAAACCCCUUGUAUAGUCAACCUCCACCCCAACAUUAACACAAUUUCAGUUUAGCAGCUCAGAAUCUGUUACUUUUCGCCGGAGCCCUUCCGAAUCUCCGUUUUCUCUCAAAUGUGACAGUUAGGCUCGGUUUAAGUUAAUAAGAAGAACGAUAUCUUAACUUCUCAGUUUCGACCAUUUUUUGGUCACCGAAAGCCCUACCGACUAAAAUCUCUGGCAGAUAGCAGUAAGAUUUUAUUUUCCACUUUCCGAGUGUCGGAAUGAUAUGAAACUUUAAAUCUAGCAUCACAAAAAUAAUCCCGACAUAUUUCCAGAUUUUUAUAAUUUUCUGACACUGUGAAUUUUCUGCUAAAAUAUCAAUCCCGUUCUUUACAGAAAAUUCUAAAUUUUCUGUUUCCAUUUAAAUUUCAGCACAAGUCAUUAUGACUUACAUUUUACUUCUUUAAGUCCAAUAAAAAUAGUAUCUUAUACUAUUUUUAUUUACACUUACUUUUAUAUUAAGAAUCCGGUACAUUACACUGCACCUGUGGACGUUUAAUGUCACACCCCAAUAAUCCCACAUCGGAUAGGAAUGGAGAUGUGAUUGGGUAUAUUAGAGGCUUAGACACUAGUAAUAAUAAGUGGGUUUAAGCAUUUUGGGCCGGUGUUUGGGCCCAACGAGUUAUUGUUGCUAGUGGGCUGAGUCGUAACAUUUAGUAUCAGAGCCAAUCACCGGCCGAAAAUGUGUGGCUAGUUUCGGCUGAGCUAGGGUCUGAAAGACAAGGUGAUAGGCUAUGCCGGAAUCUGUAUGACAAGGUGACCGGCUAUACCAGGGUCUGGAUGACAAGACUAGCGAGAUGCAUCUCACAUCGCCUGGUGAUCUUAGGCUGUGUGUGUGAUUUAAUCCCACAUCGGAUAGAAAUGGAGAUGUGAUUGGGUAUAUUAGAGACUUAGACACUACUAAUAAUAACUGAGCUUAAGAAUUUUGGGCCGGUGUUUGGGCCCAACGAGUUAUUGUUGCUAGUGGGCUGGGUCCUAACAUUCAAGCUAUUCAAAAGCCUUCCUUGCCCUACCUCCCAUAGCUUGAAGUUUCAAAUCUCAAAUUUUAAAUUUUAAAAUUCAAAAUUUUAAAUUUUAAUAUUUUAAGAUAAAAUUUAAAUUUUGACAUUUCAGAUUUUAAAACUUACAUUUAAAAAUUUAAAAAUUUAAAAUUUAGAAUUACAAGUUUUAAUUUUCAAAUUACAAAAUUUAAAAUUUAAAAUUUAAUUUUACUUUUAAAUUACAAACUUCAAA
rnacentral:lncRNA from 1 species